rnacentral:rRNA from 1 species
CUGUACUUGGUGUUACUGCGAAGGGGGGACGGAGAAGGCUAUGUUGGCCGGGCGACGGUUGUCCCGGUUUAAGCGUGUAGGCUGGUUUUCCAGGCAAAUCCGGAAAAUCAAGGCUGAGGCGUGAUGACGAGGCACUACGGUGCUGAAGCAACAAAUGCCCUGCUUCCAGGAAAAGCCUCUAAGCAUCAGGUAACAUCAAAUCGUACCCCAAACCGACACAGGUGGUCAGGUAGAGAAUACCAAGGCGCUUGAGAGAACUCGGGUGAAGGAACUAGGCAAAAUGGUGCCGUAACUUCGGGAGAAGGCACGCUGAUAUGUAGGUGAAGCGACUUGCUCGUGGAGCUGAAAUCAGUCGAAGAUACCAGCUGGCUGCAACUGUUUAUUAAAAACACAGCACUGUGCAAACACGAAAGUGGACGUAUACGGUGUGACGCCUGCCCGGUGCCGGAAGGUUAAUUGAUGGGGUCAGCGCAAGCGAAGCUCUUGAUCGAAGCCCCGGUAAACGGCGGCCGUAACUAUAACGGUCCUAAGGUAGCGAAAUUCCUUGUCGGGUAAGUUCCGACCUGCACGAAUGGCGUAAUGAUGGCCAGGCUGUCUCCACCCGAGACUCAGUGAAAUUGAACUCGCUGUGAAGAUGCAGUGUACCCGCGGCAAGACGGAAAGACCCCGUGAACCUUUACUAUAGCUUGACACUGAACAUUGAGCCUUGAUGUGUAGGAUAGGUGGGAGGCUUAGAAGUGUGGACGCCAGUCUGCAUGGAGCCGACCUUGAAAUACCACCCUUUAAUGUUUGAUGUUCUAACGUUGACCCGUAAUCCGGGUUGCGGACAGUGUCUGGUGGGUAGUUUGACUGGGGCGGUCUCCUCCUAAAGAGUAACGGAGGAGCACGAAGGUUGGCUAAUCCUGGUCGGACAUCAGGAGGUUAGUGCAAUGGCAUAAGCCAGCUUGACUGCGAGCGUGACGGCGCGAGCAGGUGCGAAAGCAGGUCAUAGUGAUCCGGUGGUUCUGAAUGGAAGGGCCAUCGCUCAACGGAUAAAAGGUACUCCGGGGAUAACAGGCUGAUACCGCCCAAGAGUUCAUAUCGACGGCGGUGUUUGGCACCUCGAUGUCGGCUCAUCACAUCCUGGGGCUGAAGUAGGUCCCAAGGGUAUGGCUGUUCGCCAUUUAAAGUGGUACGCGAGCUGGGUUUAGAACGUCGUGAGACAGUUCGGUCCCUAUCUGCCGUGGGCGCUGGAGAACUGAGGGGGGCUGCUCCUAGUACGAGAGGACCGGAGUGGACGCAUCACUGGUGUUCGGGUUGUCAUGCCAAUGGCACUGCCCGGUAGCUAAAUGCGGAAGAGAUAAGUGCUGAAAGCAUCUAAGCACGAAACUUGCCCCGAGAUGAGUUCUCCCUGACUCCUUGAGAGUCCUGAAGGAACGUUGAAGACGACGACGUUGAUAGGCCGGGUGUGUAAGCGCAGCGAUGCGUUGAGCUAACCGGUACUAAUGAACCGUGAGGCUUAACCUUACAAC